GGCUGGGGUUAGGGGUUGGGGUAGGGUUAGGGAUUGGGGUAGGGUUAGUGGUUGGAGUAGAGUUAGGGGUAGGGUUAGGGUAGAGGUAGGGUAACCCUAACCCUAUUCCUAACCCUGCUCCUAACCCAACCCUACCCUUAACCCUACCCCUAACCCUACCAUAACCCUACCCCUACCUUAUCCCUACCCCUAACCUUACCCUAACCCCACCUCUAACCCUAGCCCUAACCCUACCCAGCACUACCCCUAACCCUACCCCUAGCCU